rnacentral:rRNA from 1 species
AUUGAACGCUGGCGGCAGGCUUAACACAUGCAAGUCGAGCGAGCGGCGGACGGGUGAGUAAUGUCUGGGAAACUGCAUGAUGGAGGGGGAUAACUACUGGAAAAGGUAGCUAAUACCGCAUACCAUCAGAUGUGCCCCGAUGGGAUUAGCUAGUAGGUGGGGUAAUGGCUCACCUAGGAGACGAUCCCUAGCUGGUCUGAGAGGCUGACCAGCCAAACUGGAACUGGGACACGGUCCAGACUCCGACGGUAGGCAGCAUGGGGAAAUAGUGCAAAAUGGGCGCAAGCCUGAUGCAGCCAUGCCGCGUGUAUGAAGAAGGCCGUCGGGUUGUAAAGUACUUUCAGUGGGGAGGCGUUACCGACAGAAGAAGCACCGGCUGACUCCGGGCCAGCAGCCGCGGUAAUAC